AGAGUUUGAUCCUGGCUCAGGAUGAACGCUAGCGGCAGGCCUAAUACAUGCAAGUCGAGGGGCAGCGCAGUGUAGCAAUACAUGGGCGGCGACCGGCAAACGGGUGCGGAACACGUACGCAACCUUCCUUCAAGCGGGAAUAGCCCAGAGAAAUUUGGAUUAAUACCCCAUAAGAAUGUAGAGAGGCAUCUCUCAGCAUUUAAAGAUUUAUCACUUGAAGAUGGGCGUGCGUCUGAUUAGGUAGUUGGUGAGGUAACGGCUCACCAAGCCGACGAUCAGUAACUGGCGUGAGAGCGCGACCAGUCACACGGGCACUGAGACACGGGCCCGACUCCUACGGGAGGCAGCAGUAAGGAAUAUUGGUCAAUGGACGGAAGUCUGAACCAGCCAUGCCGCGUGGAGGAUGAAGGUCCUCU
rnacentral:rRNA from 1 species